UUAGUCAGCAUUAGGGUUUUAAACCCUAAACUGAACUUUUUCCAUUUAGUCAGCAUUAGGGUUUUAAACCCUAAACUGAACUUUUCCUUUAGUCAGCAUUAGGGUUUUAAACCCUAAACUGAACCUUUUCUUUUAAUCAGUAUUAGGGUUUUAAACCCUAAACUGAACUCUUUUCCUUCAAUCAGCAUUAGGGCCCCGACCCUAAGCUGAACUUUUCCCCAGUUGGUCAGCAUUAGAAUUUCAACUCUAAACUGAGCUUCUCCCCAGCUAGUCAGCAUUAGGGUUUUAAAACCUGAACUGAACUAUUUCCAUUCCGCCAGCCUUAGGGUUCCAACCCUAAACUGAGUAUUCUUACCUGGUGGCGAUAUCGUCGACCCAAUUCCUUCAUUGAUUCUA
rnacentral:lncRNA from 1 species